rfam:Helianthus annuus linkage group 5, whole genome shotgun sequence.
UGGGAUGAAGUAGAGCUCCUUAAAGUCCAAUAGAAGAUCUGAGUGAGAACAUAGAGCUGCUAGUUUAUGGAUCCCUCAAGUCCUAUCUUUGUUGAUGUAUAGGCUUUGUGGCUUGCAUACACUUGGAGCUUUAUUACCCUCCUUAUGAUCCUUUUUUGGAUUGAAGGGAGCUCUACACCAUCAUAUC